GUUGCCACUGUAUAUCAUAUGUUUUUACAAAAAUUAAUUGUGAAAUGGCAUCAUGGGAUUGCGUGGGUGUAUUUACGUUUAAAAUGGACAUGAACACUGAAGAGUCAUCAUUCAAAAUUGUUGGCAUGAGCGAGGCAGCAAAAAGCGCGAGGGGUCUCGUAACGGCUGGACUGCAAGGUGGUGAGACGAAUCUUUGAACUUAAAGGCACGAGACAGCAGAGAUUGCAACUCUAACCUGAUAGGACUGGUGGUGUGAGACAAAUGAGAAAAGAUUAUUUUUAGGUGAAAUCCUCAAUGCAACUCAGUGGAUGCUGAGUAUGGACGGUCAGGUGGUUGUGAAUCCACACCCCAACCUUGUGGCUGGAUUUGCAGCUUUGUUCGCAUCAUACUACAACUUCAACCUGGUUUACCAGAGGAAGGCAUCCUCCACACUUGAAUUUGUUCAAAGAUGUUUUGUUGGAAUCACACCUACCACUGGCAUCAAGACAGCAUCAAGAGGCAAAAAAGUGGAAACGCCUCUGAGAAGAGAAACAACACCAUCAACCCUUAUGUGUG